UGGGGAAUAUUGCACAAUGGGCGCAAGCCUGAUGCAGCCAUGCCGCGUGUGUGAAGAAGGCCUUCGGGUUGUAAAGCACUUUCAGCGGGGAGGAAGGCGUUAAGGUUAAUAACCUUGGCGAUUGACGUUACCCGCAGAAGAAGCACCGGCUAACUCCGUGCCAGCAGCCGCGGUAAUACGGAGGGUGCAAGCGUUAAUCGGAAUUACUGGGCGUAAAGCGCACGCAGGCGGUCUGUCAAGUCGGAUGUAAAAUCCCCGGGCUUAACCCGGGAAUUGCAUCUGAUACUGGUCAGCUAGAGUCUUGUAGAGGGGGGUAGAAUUCCAUGUGUAGCGGUGAAAUGCGUAGAGAUGUGGAGGAAUACCGGUGGCGAAGGCGGCCCCCUGGACAAAGACUGACGCUCAGGUGCGAAAGCGUGGGGAGCAAACAGG
rnacentral:rRNA from 1 species